CGGUACGUACUGGCAUUGUUGGUUCCUCCCUUCUGACGAACCAUGAUGUCAUUUAUUUGGUGUUGUGGGGAAUCAGGACUGUUACUUUGAAAAAAUUAGAGUGUUUAAAGCAGGCUCACGCUUGAAUACAUUAGCAUGGAAUAAUGAAAUAGGACGUUUGAUUCUAUUUUGUUGGUUUCUAGGAUCGACGUAAUGAUUAAUAGGGAUAGUUGGGGGCAUUAGUAUUCAAUUGUCAGAGGUGAAAUUCUUGGAUUUAUUGAAGACUAACUACUGCGAAAGCAUUUGCCAAGGAUGUUUUCAUUAAUCAAGAACGAAAGUUAGGGGAUCGAAGACGAUCAGAUACCGUCGUAGUCUUAACCAUAAACUAUGCCGACUAGGGAUCGGAUGAUGUUAAUUUUUUAAUGACUCAUUCGGCGCCUUACG
rnacentral:rRNA from 1 species